UGCGCAGGCGGUCUUUUAAGUCAGAUGUGAAAUCCCCCGGGCUUAACCUGGGAACUGCGUUUGAAACUGAAAGGCUAGAGUGUGGCAGAGGGGGUGGAAUUCCACGUGUAGCAGUGAAAUGCGUAGAGAUGUGGAGGAACACCGAUGGCGAAGGCAGCCCCCUGGGCUAACACUGACGCUCAUGCACGAAAGCGUGGGAGCAAACA
rnacentral:rRNA from 1 species